GGGGGUGAACGGUUUCGACUCUGGACGUUAAGUCAGUGGGAAGCGUGCCGGUGCAGGCGAGAGACCACCGUAAGCGUCAUCGCAACCCAAUAAGCGCCGACUCUAGUCAGCGCCAGUUCGCCCUCGCCGCCUGAGCGAGUAGCGACUGUGUCGGACCGGGGGUGUCCCCGCCCCGGACCCCGGCACCAGUAAGGGGACUCACCACCAGGCCCGGUCGCGGGGUCUGGAUGGGACACCUACAGCGACUGGGAUCGUCACACCGGCUUGUCUGCGUGACCGGUGGGUCCGAGUAGAGGCUUAGCAGACUGCGCACGGAGAAGCCCUGACGAGGCGACGGAGGACCCGGGUUCGAUUCCCGGCACCUCCACCG
rnacentral:tmRNA from 1 species